GCGGGUGUAGCUCAAUUGGUUAGAGCGCCGGCCUGUCACGCCGGAGGUUGAGAGUUCAAGUCUCUUCACUCGCGCCA
rnacentral:tRNA from 1 species